CUACUUGGGGAUCUAGUAACCCAUCUGCCCUCCGUGAAACUGUUGUUGAAGUACCAAAUGUCAGCUGGGAUGAUAUUGGUGGGCUGGAAAAUGUCAAGAGGGAACUGCAAGAGAUUAGAACAGUGGAUGUUUUAACUCAGAAAACUAGGCAUUUGAAGGUGAAAAGUGGUGA